rnacentral:lncRNA from 1 species
GCAGUUUCCCACCGCCCUCCCCAACAGCCUGCUCAGGCAGAAACACGUGUUCCAGACUUACUAUCUUGGGAUCAUUAAUGGCUGCAGGAUGCCCAAACUCCGUGAUCAUUUUCCAAGUCACGUGAUUAAGGAUGCGCACCUUUCCAUCAUAGCUCCCAACUGCCAGGAACUGACUGCUGGGGCUCCAGGCCACAGACUUGAUGCCCAGGGACCACUCGUAAGCGCUGUACGUGGACAACAACCGGCCAUCCAAUGAGUACAGCAGAAU